rnacentral:rRNA from 1 species
AGUGAACGCUGGCGGUAGGCCUAACACAUGCAAGUCGAACGGCAGCACAGUAAGAGCUUGCUCUUACGGGUGGCGAGUGGCGGACGGGUGAGGCAUACAUCUGAAUCUACUUUUUCGUGGGGGAUAACGUAGGGAAACUUACGCUAAUACCGCAUACGACCUACGGGUGAAAUCAGGGGAUCUUCGGACCUUGCGCGAUUGAAUGAGCCGAUGUCGGAUUAGCUAGUUGGCGGGGUAAAGGCCCACCAAGGCGACGAUCCGUAGCUGGUCUGAGAGGAUGAUCAGCCACACUGGAACUGAGACACGGUCCAGACUCCUACGGGAGGCAGCAGUGGGGAAUAUUGGACAAUGGGCGAAAGCCUGAUCCAGCCAUACCGCGUGGGUGAAGAAGGCCUUCGGGUUGUAAAGCCCUUUUGUUGGGAAAGAAAAGCAGCAGGUUAAUACCCCGCUGUUCUGACGGUACCCAAAGAAUAAGCACCGGCUAACUUCGUG